rnacentral:rRNA from 1 species
GACGUAGGGCGCGAGCGUUGUCCGGAUUUAUUGGGCGUAAAGAGCUCGUAGGCGGCUUGUCGCGUCGACUGUGAAAACCCGUGGCUCAACCAUGUGGUCUGCAGUCGAUACGGGCAGGCUAGAAUUCGGUAGGGGAGACUGGAAUUCCUGGUGUAGCGGUGAAAUGCGCAGAUAUCAGGAGGAACACCAGUGGCGAAGGCGGCGAUCUGGGAAGAUACUGACGCUGAGGUGCGAAAGCGUGGGGAGCAAACAGG